AUGCAGGUGCGGCCGGAGCCGAGCCGCCAGGAACCGAUGCCGGUGCCAGUCUCCAGUCCAGCCGAGCCCAGUCCAGCCGAGCCCAGUCCAGCCGAGCCCAGUCCAGUCUCCAGUCCAGUUCCGGCCCCAGUCCAGUCUCCAGUCCAGUUCCGGCCCCAGUUCAGUCUCCAGUCCAGUUCCGGCCCCAGUUCAGUCUCCAGUCCAGUUCCGGCCCCAGUACAGUCGAGUCCUGUUCCGGCCCCAGUACAGUCGAGUCCUGUUCCGGCCCCAGUACAGUCGAGUCCUGUCCCGGCCCCAGUACAGUCGAGUCCUGUCCCGGCCCCAGUACAGUCCAGUCACGUUCCUGUCCCGGCCCCAGUACAGUCCAGUCACGUUCCUGUCCCGGCCCCAGUACAGUCCAGUCACGUUCCUGUCCAGGUUCCAGUACAGUCCAGUCACGUUCCUGUCCAGGUUCCAGUACAGUCCAGUCACGUUCCUGUCCCAGUUCAGUUCAGUCACGCGCAGGUCGUGUCCCAACCAGGGGGCACCACCUGUCGUACAGGUGCUAUGCACACCCGAUCAGGCCCGACGUCUGCUCCGUCGAGCUUGGCAGCGGCAAGUAGCCAUGCCAGCUCCAGAGUAGAUGCCGUUCCAGUUCCUGUCGGCCAUGUCGCGGCCGUUCCUGUCGGCCAUGUUGAGGCCGUUCUAGUUCCUGUUCCUGUCCCUGUCGGCCAAGUAGACGCCGUUCCUGUCCCUGUCGGCCAUGUUGCGGCCGUUCCUGUCGGCCAUGUUGCGGCCGUUCUAGUCCCGGUUCCUGUCCCUGUCGGCCAAGUAGAUGCCGUUCCUGUCGGCCAUGUUGCGGCCGUUCUAGUUCCUGUCCCUGUCGGCCAAGUAGAUGCCGUUCCUGUCGGCCAUGUGGCGGCCGUUCCAGCCCCUGUCCCUGUCGGCCAUGUUGCGGCCGUUCCAGCUCCUGUCACCCUCGGAGCCGCAGCCCCUGCGCACCCCCAGGAGGAGGUCGCGCCAGCUGCAGUUCCCGCGCACCUCCGGGAGGGGGUCGCGCCAGCUGCAGUUCCCGCGCACCUCCGGGAGGAGGUCGCGCCAGCGGCAGUUCCCGCGGACCUCCGGGAGGGGGUCGCGCCCGCCGCAGUCCCGGCGGACCUCCGGGAGGGGGUCGCGCCCGCCGCAGUCCCGGCGGACCUCCGGGAGGGGGUCGCGCCCGCCGCAGUCCCGGCGGACCUCCGGGAGGGGGUCGCGCCCGCCGCAGUCCCGGCGGACCUCCGGGAGGGGGUCGCGCCCGUCGCAGUCCCGGCGGACCUCCGGGAGGGGGUCGCGCCCGUCGCAGUCCCGGCGGACCUCCGGGAGGGGGUCGCGCCCGUCGCAGUCCCGGCGGACCUCCGGGAGGGGGUCGCGCCCGUCGCAGUCCCGGCGGACCUCCGGGAGGGGGUCGCGCCCGUCGCAGUCCCGGCGGACCUCCGCGCGCGGCUGGCCUGGAGACUGAACAGCGCGCGGCUGGCCUGGAGACUGAACAGCGCGCGGCUGGCCUGGAGACUGAACAGCGCGCGGCUGGCCUGGAGACUGAACAGCGCGCGGCUGGCCUGGAGACUGAACAGCGCGCGGCUGGCCUGGAGACUGAACAGCGCGCGGCUGGACUGGAGACUGAACAGCGCGCGGCUGGACUGGAGACUGAACAGCGCGCGGCUGGACUGGAGACUGAACAGCGCGCGGCUGGACUGGAGACUGAACAGCGCGCGGCUGGACUGGAGACUGAACAGCGCGCGGCUGGACUGGAGACUGAACAGCGCGCGGCUGGACUGGAGACUGAACAGCGCGCGGCUGGGCGGAGACCUGAGCAUGGCAAGGCUGAGCUGGAACCUGAACGAGGGGCGACUGAACUACGACUGGAGUCUGAACAGGACAUGGCUGCACUAG
rnacentral:lncRNA from 1 species